AAGUCUUGACUCACAGCAGUGGCUUUGGAAGAUCUGCAAGCUUGGCAUUGGCUGGAGCUGUUACUUCUCACCCAUCGUGAUGCACUUCACUCACUCACUCACUCACUCACUCACUUACAGCUGGCUCAAAGCAGUAUGUGGGGAGAGCUGAAUUUUGCUGCCCAAGGAUGAGAGGUGGGGUCCAGCACUAAGGAGUGAGGCAGUGACUGCUAUUUCCAAGAGGACCUCUCCCACCUUCCAAAAAGCAGUCAGACACCAUAUGCUCUGGCUUUCUGCAAAGAGUGUGCCUUCUCGACACUCUGGACUGUGCUCACGUGAAUGACAUUUUAAAGCUAAGUAAUCCCUGGUAAAACAAGUUAAUUCUUUAACUUGAGCAGGGCAAAACCAUGGAAACAAGGACUUCAGAGUGCUGCUAAGCCUGUUGGAUAUACAUCUGUACAGCACCAGGGAAAUACUGGGGUGUCCAUAGUACACAAAUCCCCUGACCUGGGUCUGCAUCAGUCCUUGUAAGAGUCAUGUUAUAAAGUUUUCCUUUUUUACCUACAGAAACAGACUUAAUGCAAUGGCAGCUGAAAACCCCCACACUUUAAAUCUAACAAUUUAUCUUCAUAAUAUCCCUGUGGAUAGUGGUGGUGCAAACACCCCAGAUGUACUCACCAGGAAACGAAGCACAGAAAACCUGACUGCCCUAGUAAGAUCCCAUAAAGACUGUGGUGGAAAUAAAAAGCCUUGAAAAUCA